GACGAACGCUGGCGGCGUGCUUAACACAUGCAAGUCGAACGGAAAGGCCCUGCUUUUGUGGGGUGCUCGAGUGGCGAACGGGUGAGUAACACGUGAGUAACCUGCCCUUGACUUUGGGAUAACUUCAGGAAACUGGGGCUAAUACCGGAUAGGAGCUCCUGCUGCAUGGUGGGGGUUGGAAAGUUUCGGCGGUUGGGGAUGGACUCGCGGCCUAUCAGCUUGUUGGUGGGGUAGUGGCUUAUCAAGGCUUUGACGGGUAGCCGGCCUGAGAGGGUGACCGGCCACAUUGGGACUGAGAUACGGCCCAGACUCCUACGGGAGGCAGCAGUGGGGAAUAUUGCACAAUGGGCGGAAGCCUGAUGCAGCAACGCCGCGUGCGGGAUGACGGCCUUCGGGUUGUAAACCGCUUUCGCCUGUGACGAAGCGUGAGUGACGGUAAUGGGUAAAGAAGCACCGGCUAACUACGUG
rnacentral:rRNA from 1 species